CUGGCUCAGAACGAACGCUGGCGGCGCGUCUUAAGCAUGCAAGUCGGGCGGCAAGGAUGUGCUUGCACAUCCCUAGAGCGGCGGACUGGUGAGUAACGCGUGGGUGACGCACCCCCCGGACGGGGAUAGCCUGUGGAAACACAGGGUAAUACCGGAUACGGUUCCGUGAGCUGGAGUCACGGAAGGAAAGGAGCUUCGGCUCCGCCGGGGGAGCGGCCUGCGGCCCAUCAGCUUGUGGCGGGGUAAAGGCCCACCAAGGCGACGACGGGUACCCGGCCUGAGAGGGCGACCGGGCACAUUGGGACUGAGAUACGGCCCAGACUCCUACGGGAGGCAGCAGCUAAGAAUAUUCCGCAAUGCGCGAAAGCGUGACGGAGCGACGCCGCGUGGACGAUGAAGGCCGGAAGGUUGCAGAGUCCUUUGGCACGCGAGGAAGGAGCGGGGGAGGAAAUGAUCCCGCGGUGACUGUAGCGUGAGAACAAGCACCGGCUAAUUACGUGCCAGCCGCGGC
rnacentral:rRNA from 1 species